rnacentral:rRNA from 1 species
AACGAACGCUGGCGGCAUGCCUAACAUAUGCAAGUCGAACGAUCCCUUCGGGGAUAGUGGCGCACGGGUGCGUAACGCGUGGGAACCUGCCCUUAGGUUCGGAAUAACUCAGAGAAAUUUGAGCUAAUACCGGAUAAUGUCUUCGGACCAAAGAUUUAUCGCCUUUGGAUGGGCCCGCGUUGGAUUAGCUAGUUGGUGGGGUAAAGGCCUACCAAGGCGACGAUCCAUAGCUGGUCUGAGAGGAUGAUCAGCCACACUGGGACUGAGACACGGCCCAGACUCCUACGGGAGGCAGCAGUGGGGAAUAUUGGACAAUGGGCGAAAGCCUGAUCCAGCAAUGCCGCGUGAGUGAUGAAGGCCUUAGGGUUGUAAAGCUCUUUUACCCGGGAUGAUAAUGACAGUACCGGGAGAAUAAGCCCCGGCUAACUCCGUG